UACGUAGGGUGCAAGCGUUGUUCGGAUUUACUGGGCGUAAAGGGCGCGUAGGCGGCAAUUCAAGUCAGCUGUGAAAUCUCCGGGCUUAACUCGGAACGGUCAGCUGAUACUGCUUUGCUAGAGUGCGGAAGGGGCAAUCGGAAUUCUCGGUGUAGCGGUGAAAUGCGUAGAUAUCGAGAGGAACACCUGAGGUGAAGACGGGUUGCUGGGCCGACACUGACGCUGACAGCGCGAAAGCCAGGGGAGCAAACGGG
rnacentral:rRNA from 1 species